rnacentral:rRNA from 1 species
UGGGGAAUUUUGGACAAUGGGCGAAAGCCUGAUCCAGCAAUGCCGCGUGUGUGAAGAAGGCCUUCGGGUUGUAAAGCACUUUUGUCCGGAAAGAAAUCCUUGGCUCUAAUACAGUCGGGGGAUGACGGUACCGGAAGAAUAAGCACCGGCUAACUACGUGCCAGCAGCCGCGGUAAUACGUAGGGUGCAAGCGUUAAUCGGAAUUACUGGGCGUAAAGCGUGCGCAGGCGGUUUGCUAAGACCGAUGUGAAAUCCCCGGGCUCAACCUGGGAACUGCAUUGGUGACUGGCAGGCUAGAGUAUGGCAGAGGGGGGUAGAAUUCCACGUGUAGCUGUGAAAUGCGUAGAGAUGUGGAGGAAUACCGAUGGCGAAGGCAGCCCCCUGGGCCAAUACUGACGCUCAUGCACGAAAGCGUGGGGAGCAAACAGGAUUAGAUACCCUGGUAGUCCACACCCUAAACGAUGUCAACUAGUUGUUGGGGAUUCAUUUCCUUAGUAACGUAGCUAACGCGUGAAGUUGACCGCCUGGGGAGUACGGUCGCAAGAUUAAAACUCAAAUGAAUUGACGGGGUCAUAGCUGUUUCCU